ACAUGCUUACAACAUAAUGUUAAUGCACCAGAUCCCAUUAGAACUCCACAGUUAAGCAUGCUCAGGGUAGAGUAGUACUGGGAUGGGUGACUGCCUGAGAAGUCCUAGUAUUUUACAUGCC
rnacentral:rRNA from 1 species